CAUAUAUAAGUUCAAGGACAAAUGUGUCUGCUUUACAUAACAUAAUACCGAUAAAAAGCUUGGGUCGAACAUAAUUAUACCUUCAGCUUCACAUGAUGAGUGGGAAUAUCGCAGACGGAAGCAAUAGACGAGACUCGUACAUGUAGAAUUUUUGCCUGAAUGAAUAGAUGCGCUAUCCAUGCAUUGACUAUGUUUAGACAUCUUUCAGGUUCGUACGUGG